rnacentral:rRNA from 66 species
CGAGACCUCAGGUCAGACGG